rnacentral:rRNA from 1 species
GGCGAGCCUAAUCAUGCAAGUCGAGCGGACAGAAGGGAGCUUGCUCCCGGAUGUUAGCGGCGGACGGGUGAGUAACACGUGGGUAACCUGCCUGUAAGACUGGGAUAACUCCGGGAAACCGGAGCUAAUACCGGAUAGUUCCUUGAACCGCAUGGUUCAAGGAUGAAAGACGGUUUCGGCUGUCACUUACAGAUGGACCCGCGGCGCAUUAGCUAGUUGGUGAGGUAACGGCUCACCAAGGCGACGAUGCGUAGCCGACCUGAGAGGGUGAUCGGCCACACUGGGACUGAGACACGGCCCAGACUCCUACGGGAGGCAGCAGUAGGGAAUCUUCCGCAAUGGACGAAAGUCUGACGGAGCAACGCCGCGUGAGUGAUGAAGGUUUUCGGAUCGUAAAGCUCUGUUGUUAGGGAAGAACAAGUGCAAGAGUAACUGCUUGCACCUUGACGGUACCUAACCAGAAAGCCACGGCUAACUACGUGCCAGCAGCCGCGGUAAUACGUAGGUGGCAAGCGUUGUCCGGAAUUAUUGGGCGUAAAGGGCUCGCAGGCGGUUUCUUAAGUCUGAUGUGAAAGCCCCCGGCUCAACCGGGGAGGGUCAUUGGAAACUGGGAAACUUGAGUGCAGAAGAGGAGAGUGGAAUUCCACGUGUAGCGGUGAAAUGCGUAGAGAUGUGGAGGAACACCAGUGGCGAAGGCGACUCUCUGGUCUGUAACUGACGCUGAGGAGCGAAAGCGUGGGGAGCGAACAGGAUUAGAUACCCUGGUAGUCCACGCCGUAAACGAUGAGUGCUAAGUGUUAGGGGGUUUCCGCCCCUUAGUGCUGCAGCUAACGCAUUAAGCACUCCGCCUGGGGAGUACGGUCGCAAGACUGAAACUCAAAGGAAUUGACGGGGGCCCGCACAAGCGGUGGAGCAUGUGGUUUAAUUCGAAGCAACGCGAAGAACCUUACCAGGUCUUGACAUCCUCUGACAACCCUAGAGAUAGGGCUUUCCCUUCGGGGACAGAGUGACAGGUGGUGCAUGGUUGUCGUCAGCUCGUGUCGUGAGAUGUUGGGUUAAGUCCCGCAACGAGCGCAACCCUUGAUCUUAGUUGCCAGCAUUCAGUUGGGCACUCUUAAGGUGACUGCCCGGUGACAAACCCGGAGGAAAGGUGGGGGAUGAAGGCCAAAUCAUCCAUGCCCCCUAUUAACCCGGGGGUAACCCCCCGGGUUCAAAUGGGAAGAAACAAAAGGGUGCGGAAACCCCCAAGGUUUAACCAAUCCCACAAAAUUGUUCUCUUUUUUGUAAGCAAUCUUGCAACCCCACUCGCGGGGAAAAUGGGAAUCCCUUUAAAUACCCGGGACAACAUCCCCCCGGGGGGAGAAAAUUUCCCCGGGCCUUUGUACAACCGCCCCUUCACCCACC